rnacentral:tRNA from 1 species
GCGGGCGUGGCGGAAUUGGUAGACGCAGCGGCUUUAGGUGCCGCCGACGCAAGUUGUGGGGUUCGAGUCCCUCCGCCCGCACCA